AGCGUAGACGGUGUGGCAAGUCUGAUGUGAAAGGCAUGGGCUCAACCUGUGGACUGCAUUGGAAAUUGUCAUACUUGAGUGCCGGAGGGGUAAGCGGAAUUCCUAGUGUAGCGGUGAAAUGCGUAGAUAUUAGGAGGAACACCAGUGGCGAAGGCGGCUUACUGGACGGUAACUGACGUUGAGGCUCGAAAGCGUGGGGAGCAGACA
rnacentral:rRNA from 1 species